CCCGCUAUGUAAAUCAGGCGGUGGAGCGAUUUUAUUUUCAUUUCCCUGUCUGUACAGAGUGAUUACGUAGUUAGAAAAAUAGUGUCAUUGGUAGAAAAAUGCAAAUAACACAAGCCGAUGUCAAGAUUAAAAAAAUUGCUAGUGUUUUUGGAAUCAUCCAAGGCCUGGCAUGGACACUUAUGUCCCUCAUUUGCAUGAUCUAUUACUCCAACGACCACUUGGCCAAUUUGGAGCCAAAAAGUUACCACGAUUAUAUCGGUUUUUUCAUUUACCAAUUGUUACUAAACAACAAUGAGGUCGUUUUCACCAAGCAAGCUUUCACAGACGGUGUGUUUUUUGGAUUUAUGUUGAUUUAUUUUUUCUUAGACUUGGCUUGGAUUGCAGUUUCAGUUCGAGUUUGGCUUCGACACGAAUCAAAAAGUAUCAAAGCCUGGAGUUUGGUCACGUUACUGAUUUGCGUUUGGGAUUUUCUUACAGUGGUUAUUCUAGGUGCCGAUUACGACAAUUGUCUAAGAUUUGCAAAAACAAGUAACUCAAAAUUAGAUUUCGAAUUUUAUUGCUCGACUGCAUUACUUACAGUUCUUGUGAUUGCAGCAAAAGGUUUUGUUUUGUGGUUCAUUAACUUGUUCCUGGCCUGGGCUAUGUUUAAAGUAUCAAAAGAAAUAAAAUAAGUGUAAAAGAUUUUUUUUAAAUAAAGAAAUAAGGAAA